CAUGGACAUGGUCAGAAAUGUAAGAGACGUCACAUAGCUCCUCACUCAUCUAUAUAAUCCGCUCUUGAGUGUUAUGUGCCUCGUCUGGUGUUUGUAGAGUUGGGUCUGGCGCCUGUGGGACGCUCAUGGCACACGCUAACAGCCGUGUCAGAUACGUCUCUUUUUCUGUUCGGUGGACUCAGUGUGGACUGCAGACCCAUGAGUGACGGCUGGAUGUUUAAUCUGGAGACAAAAGGAUGGACAGAGAUGGAGCAUCAAAACAAGGACAAACCGCGUCUGUGGCACACCGCGUAUCAAGGAAGAGACUCAGAUGUUGUAGUGUUUGGAGGAAGUCAUGAUUAUAUCCUUUUAGUGGACAAAGUGAGUGUUGUGUGCUCCACGGUGUACUGAUAAUUCAGCAAACAUCUGAAGUCUAUAAGCCUGGGUCAGUGAAGAUGAUUUGUUUUGCAGGGCCACUGCAACGAUGCGCUUGUUUCCAGACUCCGCCGCAGCCGCUGAUGCGGGAACAAUCACUGAACUGUGGAACAGGAAUUAUGGGCUGAUGGAGAACAGACUAAUGCGAUGUAUUUCCACAGAUUAUGCCAAGACUUCAUUGCAAGCUACGCCGGCAUGUUUCAGUACCAGAUUCUCUGUUUACCACCAAAACUGAGAAACGCUGUGCAGAAAAGGACGAUUUUCUUCAGGCCAAGCACAGAGUCACAGAAUGUGGAAUGAUUUGUUU